GAUGAACGCUAGCGACAGGCCUAACACAUGCAAGUCGAGGGGCAGCAUAGAGGUAGCAAUACUUUGGUGGCGACCGGCGCACGGGUGAGUAACACGUAUGCAACCUACCUGUAUGAGGGGAAUAACCCGGAGAAAUUCGGACUAAUACCGCAUCAAACCACGAAUGCGCAUGGAUUUGUGUUUAAACAUUUAUGGCUUACAGAUGGGCAUGCGUAUGAUUAGCUAGUUGGUAGGGUAAAGGCCUACCAAGGCAACGAUCAUUAGGGGUUCUGAGAGGAAGGUCCCCCACACUGGUAGUGAGACACGGACCAGACUCCUACGGGAGGCAGCAGUGAGGAAUAUUGGUCAAUGGGCGAGAGCCUGAACCAGCCAAGUCGCGUGAAGGAAGAAGGUUCUAUGGAUUGUAAACUUCUUUUGUAAGGGAAUAAAAAGAGUUACGUGUAACUUAUUGUAUGUACUUUACGAAUAAGGAUCGGCUAACUCCGUGCCAGCCGCCGCGGUAACAC
rnacentral:rRNA from 1 species